UACGAGGGGUGCAAGCGUUGCUCGGAAUUAUUGGGCGUAAAGGGUAGGUAGGUGGUCUUAUUUGUCAGGGGUGAAAUCCUUGGGCUUAACUCAAGAAGUGCCCCUGAAACGGUAAGACUAGAAUCUUGGAGAGGUGAGCGGAAUUCCCGGUGUAGCGGUGAAAUGCGUAGAGAUCGGGAGGAACACCAGCGGCGAAGGCGGCUCACUGGACAAGUAUUACGACACAUCAACUACGAAAGCGG
rnacentral:rRNA from 1 species